rnacentral:lncRNA from 1 species
GAAUCAUUGGAUUUUUAGCUAAUGGUUACUGUCUCUCGUGACCUGCAAUUCAAUAAUUUUUGGGUGUUUUUUGUCGUCUGGUUAUAAUGCAAACUUAGAUAUCACUUCACAUGCUCGAUCCUUUAGCCCCUAUAUCAUAAAGGCAACACACACCCAUUAAAUGGAGUCCGUGAUUGAAUUUUGAUUCCUAUAUCUAUGUAGUGUGUGUCCGUCCCCCCAACUUUUGCAUUCACACUUAUGUAUUCUCUACUUUUUGUAUUAUUUUCGGUAUUCAUUCAAUUUAUUUUUAUAUCAAGAAAGGGACAACAGAUUGAAAAAUUGUUGUGAAGUUGUUUUCUCCUUUAAUUAACAAAAGAGAAA